GAAACUAACAAGGAUUCCCCUAGUAACUGCGAGUGAAGCGGGAAAAGCUCAAAUUUAAAAUCUGGCAGUCUUUGAUUGUCCGAGUUGUAAACUAGAGAAGUGUUAUCCGUGCUGGACCGUGUAAAAGUCUCCUGGAAUGGAGCAUCAUAGAGGGUGAGAAUCCCGUCUUUGACAUGGACUACCAGUGCUUUGUGAUGCGCUCUCAAAGAGUCGAGUUGUUUGGGAAUGCAGCUCAAAAUGGGUGGUAAAUUCCAUCUAAAGCUAAAUAUUGGCGAGAGACCGAUAGCGAACAAGUACCGUGAGGGAAAGAUGAAAAGAACUUUGGAAAGAGAGUUAAACAGUACGUGAAAUUGCUGAAAGGGAAACGCUUGAAGUCAGUCGCGUCGGCCAGGAAUCAACCUUGCUUUUGCUGGGCGUACUUUCUGGUUGACGGGUCAGCAUCAAUUUUGACUGCUGGAAAAAGUUCAAGGGAAUGUGGCAUCUUCGGAUGUGUUAUAGCCCUUGUUCGCAUACAGCAGUUGGGAUUGAGGUACUCAGCACGCCGCAAGGCCGGGUUUCGACCACGUUCGUGCUUAGGAUGCUGGCAUAAUGGCUUUAAUCGACCCGUCUUGAAACACGGACCAAGGAGUCUAACAUGCCUGCGAGUGUUUGGGUGGAAAACCCAAGCGCGCAAUGAAAGUAAAAGUUGAGAUCCCUGUCAUGGGGAGCAUCGACGCCCGGACCAGACCUUUUGUGACGGAUCUGCGGUAGAGCAUGUAUGUUGGGACCCGAAAGAUGGUGAACUAUGCCUGAAUAGGGUGAAGCCAGAGGAAACUCUGGUGGAGGCUCGUAGCGAUUCUGACGUGCAAAUCGAUCGUCAAAUUUGGGUAUAGGGGCGAAAGACUAAUC
rnacentral:rRNA from 1 species